GACGUAGGGCGCGAGCGUUGUCCGGAUUUAUUGGGCGUAAAGAGCUCGUAGGCGGUUUGUCGCGUCGUUCGUGAAAACCCACGGCUUAACUGUGGGCUUGCGGUCGAUACGGGGCAGGGCUAGAGUUCGGUAGGGGAGACGUGGAAUUCCUGGUGUAGCGGUGAAAGUGCGCAGAUAUCAGGAGGAACACCGGUGGCGAAGGCGGCAUCCUGGAUCGGCAUUGACGCUGAGGCGCGAAAGCCAGGGGAGCAAACAGG
rnacentral:rRNA from 1 species